rnacentral:rRNA from 1 species
AGACGAGGACGUUGAUAGGCACUAUGUAGAAGGCUGGUAACAGCUGUAGCAAAGGUGUACUAAUAGUCGAGCG